rnacentral:rRNA from 1 species
AGCGAACGCUGGCGGCAGGCCUAACACAUGCAAGUCGAACGAAGUCUUCGGACUUAGUGGCGGACGGGUGAGUAACACGUGGGAACGUGCCUUUAGGUUCGGAAUAAUGCAGAGAAAUUUGCGCUAAUACCGGAUGAGCCCUUCGGGGGAAAGAUUUAUCGCCGAAAGAUCGGCCCGCGUUGGAUUAGGUAGUUGGUGUGGUAAAGGCGCACCAAGCCUACGAUCCAUAGCUGGUCUGAGAGGAUGAUCAGCCACACUGGGACUGAGACACGGCCCAGACUCCUACGGGAGGCAGCAGUGGGGAAUCUUGCGCAAUGGGCGAAAGCCUGACGCAGCCAUGCCGCGUGAAUGAUGAAGGUCUUAGGAUUGUAAAAUUCUUUUACCAGGGACGAUAAUGACGGUACCUGGAGAAAAAGCCCCGGCUAACUUCGUGCCAGCAGCCGCAGUAAAAC